rnacentral:tRNA from 1 species
GGGGGAGCACAGACGGCAUUGGGGUGACAAAACUCGAAAUGCUUUAGGUCUCGAGAGAGGCGCGUGGGUUCGACUCCCACCAUCUCCGCCA